CCUACGGGAGGCAGCAGUGAGGAAUUUUGGACAAUGGGGGAAACCCUGAUCCAGCGACGCCGCGUGAAGGAUGAAGGUCUUCGGAUUGUAAACUUCUUUUGCCUGGGAAUAACCACCCCGUGGAAACACGGGGAAUGAAUGUACCAGGCGAAUAAGCCACGGCUAACUUCGUGCCAGCAGCCGCGGUAAUACGAAGGUGGCAAGCGUUACUCGGAAUUACUAGGCGUAAAGGGCAGGUAGGUGGUUUGGUUAGUCUGUUGUGAAAGCUCCUUGCUCAACGGGGAGAGGCCAACAGAUACUGCCAAGCUUGAGUAUGGGAGAGGGUACUGGAAUUCCCGGUGUAGCGGUGAAAUGCGCAGAGAUCGGGAGGAACACCAAUGGCGAAAGCAGGUACCUGGACCAUUACUGACACUCAGCUGCGAAAGCUAGGGGAGCAAACA
rnacentral:rRNA from 1 species